rnacentral:rRNA from 1 species
UACGAAGGGGGCUAGCGUUGCUCGGAAUCACUGGGCGUAAAGGGUGCGUAGGCGGGUCUUUAAGUCAGGGGUGAAAUCCUGGAGCUCAACUCCAGAACUGCCUUUGAUACUGGCGACCUUGAGUCCGGGAGAGGUGAGUGGAACUGCGAGUGUAGAGGUGAAAUUCGUAGAUAUUCGCAAGAACACCAGUGGCGAAGGCGGCUCACUGGCCCGGUACUGACGCUGUGGUGCGAAAGCGUGGGGAGCAAACAGG